rnacentral:tRNA from 1 species
GUUGUUUUCAUUAUAUAGGCUAAGGGAAAGAUUAGAAAUCUUUUGGGCUUUGCCCGCGCAGGUUCGAGUCCUGCAGUUGUCG